UGGGCCCCCCGGGGUGCCUGUCCAUGAACUCGGUCAGGUC
rnacentral:SRP_RNA from 13 species